GAACAGAGUGAGUGAUCCCUAUUUGUGGGAUUUCAGGACAUUGGCAAAAGCUUCCAUUCCAAAUACAAUAUCCAGCCCCCUCUGAGUGGUGUCUAACCUCCACACUUAGAGACUUUUUCCUUUGACUGAAGCAAAACCAUGCUGCCACUCACUUCUCAGGGGGUGCCAGCCCUGGGAAGGGGUGUUCCUGGAAAGGUCUGCACACUGGGCUGCACAAGGUGUUUCCCUCCAAGAGUGGAGAAGAGUGGGGUUUGGAGUCCUCACGCUCCAGGGUCAUGGCCGCUGAGACUGGAGGAGCUGCAUUAGUCCCGUCUGAAUUCCGUGAUUUGGGCAGAAUUGCACUUGCCACGUUGAGCACACGCUCCAGCAAACCCCUGUGCUCUGCGUUAUAGGAGGUUCUACAACAGGCAACUCUGGUCUGUGGUGGCUGAAGUCAGAGCACAGGUGCCCCAGGGCAGGGUAGGGCCAACUGGGAGGGGCACAGGGGCCUC
rnacentral:lncRNA from 10 species